UACGAAGGGGGCUAGCGUUGUUCGGAAUUACUGGGCGUAAAGGGCGCGUAGGCUGUGCUGUAAGUCAGGCGUGAAAUCCCCGGGCUCAACCUGGGAAUUGCGCAUGAUACUGCGGCGCUUGAAGACGGGAGAGGAUGGCGGAAUUCCCAGUGUAGAGGUGAAAUUCGUAGAUAUUGGGAAGAACACCGGUGGCGAAGGCGACUUCCUGGCCUGUUCUUGACGCUGAGGCGCGAAAGCUAGGGGAGCAAACGGG
rnacentral:rRNA from 1 species